rnacentral:rRNA from 1 species
AGCGAACGCUGGCGGCAGGCCUAACACAUGCAAGUCGAACGAACUCUUCGGAGUUAGUGGCGGACGGGUGAGUAACACGUGGGAACGUGCCUUUUGGUUCGGAAUAACUCAGGGAAACUUGUGCUAAUACCGAAUGUGCCCUUCUGGGGAAAGAUUUAUCGCCAUUAGAGCGGCCCGCGUCUGAUUAGCUAGUUGGUUAGGUAACGGCUCACCAAGGCGACGAUCAGUAGCUGGUCUGAGAGGAUGACCAGCCACACUGGGACUGAGACACGGCCCAGACUCCUACGGGAGGCAGCAGUGGGGAAUCUUGCGCAAUGGGCGAAAGCCUGACGCAGCCAUGCCGCGUGAAUGAUGAAGGUCUUAGGAUUGUAAAAUUCUUUCAACGGGGACGAUAAUGACGGCACCCGGAGAAGAAGCCCCGGCUAACUUCGUG